GGGGUUGUGGCUCAGCAGAAGAGUGCUCACCUAGCAAGUGUGAGGCCCUGAGUUCGAGCCUCAGCACCA
rnacentral:tRNA from 1 species